GUAUAUUAUUUAAUUGUUAUUUUUUUUUGUAUAAUUUUGUUUUAGUAUUAUAAUAUAUUAUUAUAUGUUGAUUUACUGUUAAGGUUUAUUUUUAAUAUAGGUAUUUAAUUUAUAGUACCUUUUGUAUCAGGGUAAAUUUAUUAAUUAACUUAUUUUAUAUUCCCGAAUAUAAGGUAUUUAUUUUUAUUUAAUUUAAGUUGUUUUAUAUACUUAUUUAAUUUAAUUAUUGUAAUUAAAUGUUAACGUUCUUAUUAUAUAUCUGGUUAUUGGAAAUUUAAUUUAAUUAUAGAUUUUUUUGUUUAUUUGUAUUUAUAUAUAAAAAUUCUAAAUUUAUUAAGGAUAAUCUUAAUAUAUAAUUAUAAUUUAAUUCUUUUUAUUUUUAUUAUUUAUAGAAUCUUAAAUUUAGUUCUUAAUAGAUUCUUUUUCACUUAUAUUUUUUUUUUAAAUUUAAUUUUUUAUUCAAUUUUUAUAAUUAAUUUCUUUAUAUUUUAAUAUUGAUUUAAUAAGUAUAAUUUUUAAAUUAUAUUUUAUGAAUUCGGCAUAUUUAAUUUUCAACUGUUUAUCAAAAACAUUUCUUUAUGGAUUUUAUAUAAAGUAAUUUCUGCCCAAUGAUUAAUUUUAUUUAAAUGGCUGCAGUAUAUUGACUGUACAAAGGUAGCAUAGUAAUUAGUUUUUUAAUUGGGAACUUGUAUGAAAGGAUACAUGAAAAAUUUUCUUUAUUAGUUUUAAAAUUAAAAUUUUAUUUUUUGGUAAAAAAGCUAAAUUAAUUUUUAGGGACGAUAAGACCCUAUAGAAUUUAAAAUUUAUUUUAAUUUAAGUAUUUUUUAGAUUAAAUUUAUUUUUUUAAUUUAAAUUUUUAAUUGGGGUGAUUAAUAAAUUCUAUAUCUUUUUUUUAUAAACUCAUAUAUAAAUGUUUUCUUUGAUCCUUAAUUUAAGAUUGUAAGACAAAUUACCUUAGGGAUAACAGCGUAAUUUUAAUGGGAAGUUCAUAUUUAAAUUAAAGUUUGCGACCUCGAUGUUGAAUUAAGAGUAAUUUGUGGUGUAGAUGCUAUGAUUUAAAGUCUGUUCGACUUUUAUAAUCUUACAUGAUUUGAGUUCAAACCGGUGUAAGCCAGGUUGGUUUCUAUCUUAAAAUUUAUUUUAAUUAUUAGUACGAAAGGACCAUAAUUAAUAAUUUGUAUUAUAUUUUUUG
rnacentral:rRNA from 1 species